AUGGGCAAACUCUGUUCUCUUGCAAGUUCACUUCAUGUCCCUCACAACCUUUGUUUGGAGACUACUCACCGAUUGCUUACCCACCUGGGUAAAUCAAAAACGACGUGGAUUGGAAAUUUCUGUGCAACUGAGCCGGAGGACACUUUUCAUGCGUUUUGCAGAUGCCCAAGAGCAGUGGGGCUGUGGCAAGCCAUGGCUGAACAGUGGAGAAUACCAUCGGCAGCAAGCUUCAAGCAAACGGGCACGGAGUGGCUGGCCCAAGCCCUCUGUGAUUUACCGGAGACGGAGAGGAUGGAGUUGAUGAUGACGCUUUGGCGCUGCUGGCGUGUCCGGAACGACCUGACGCAUAACAAGCCCGCCCCACCAGUGGUCGCAUCCCGGCGCUUCUUACUCAGCUAUGUGGAUUCCUUGAUUGGCCUUCAAAAUGUCCCCAACGCUGACCCAAUGAAGGGCAAGCAGGUGGUUGAUGUGGCGCAGCCAAGAACGCCAAUAUUGCAUGCUCCUGUACAGGUCAGAUCAACGACGAAGUGGGUGCUGCUGCCGGCUGGAUGGACGAAGUUAAAUGUUGACGGUUCCUUCUGCCCACGCACUGGAUCUCGGGGGGCGCAGGAAUGGUGCUCCGGGACAGCUCGGGAGCGAUCAUCUUCUCCUCCUGUAGGCAGUUACGUGUGUGUUCGGACGCGCUGGAAGCAGAACUGUCGGCAUGCAUGGAGGGCGUCAACCUCGCCAUACAAUGGACGCAACUACCCAUUGAGAUAG
rnacentral:rRNA from 1 species